CGGUCGACCGGCGCACGGGUGAGUAACGCGUAUCCAACCUGCCCACCACUUGGGGAUAACCUUGCGAAAGUAAGACUAAUACCCAAUGAUAUCUCUAGAAGACAUCUGAAAGAGGUUAAAGAUUUAUCGGUGAUGGAUGGGGAUGCGUCUGAUUAGCUUGUUGGCGGGGUAACGGCCCACCAAGGCAACGAUCAGUAGGGGUUCUGAGAGGAAGGUCCCCCACAUUGGAACUGAGACACGGUCCAA
rnacentral:rRNA from 1 species